AGUUUACUGGAGCUGCUAUACAGGUGCUGCACGGCUGUCGUCAGCUCGUGUCGUGAGAUGUUGGGUUAAGUCCCGCAACGAGCGCAACCCACGUGUCUAGUUACUAACAGUUCGGCUGAGGACUCUAGACAGACUGCCUUCGUAAGGAGGAGGAAGGUGUGGACGACGUCAAGUCAUCAUGGCCCUUACGGCCAGGGCUACACACGUGCUACAAUGGGGUAUACAAAGAGCAGCGAUACCGCGAGGUGGAGCAAAUCUUAAAAAUAUCUCCCAGUUCGGAUAGUAGUCUGCAACUCGACUACUUGAAGUUGGAAUCGCUAGUAAUCGUAAAUCAGCAAUGUUACGGUGAAUACGUUCCCGGGUCUUGUACUCACCGCCCGUCACACCAUGGGAGUUGAAUUCAUUCGAAGCGGGGAUGCUAAAAUAGCUACCUUCCACAGUGGAUUUAGUAACUAGGGUGAAGUCGUAACAAGGUA
rnacentral:rRNA from 1 species